rnacentral:rRNA from 1 species
GACGAACGCUGGCGGCGUGCCUAAUACAUGCAAGUAGAACGCUGAAGGAGGAGCUUGCUUCUCUGGAUGAGUUGCGAACGGGUGAGUAACGCGUAGGUAACCUGCCUGGUAGCGGGGGAUAACUAUUGGAAACGAUAGCUAAUACCGCAUAAUAGUAGAUGUUGCAUGACAUUUGCUUAAAAGGUGCAAUUGCAUCACUACCAGAUGGACCUGCGUUGUAUUAGCUAGUUGGUGGGGUAACGGCUCACCAAGGCGACGAUACAUAGCCGACCUGAGAGGGUGAGCGGACACACUGGAACUGAGACACGGUUCAGACUCGUCCGGGAGGUCGAAGCAGGGAAACUUACGAAAAGGGCGAAAGCUUGAAGGAGCAACGUAGCGUGAGUGAUGAAGGUAUUGGGAUCGGAAAACUCUGUUAUUAGGGAAGAACAUAGGUGUAAGUACCAGUGCACACCUUGACGGUACCUAAUCAGAAAGCCAGGGCUAACUACGUG